UACGAAGGGGGCUAGCGUUGCUCGGAAUCACUGGGCGUAAAGCGCGUGUAGGCGGCCCUGCAAGUCGGGUGUGAAAUCCCAUGGCUCAACCAUGGAAGUGCACUCGAAACUGCAGGGCUAGAGUCCUGGAGAGGAAGGUGGAAUGCUUGGUGUAGAGGUGAAAUUCGUAGAUAUCAAGCGGAACACCGGUGGCGAAGGCGGCCUUCUGGACAGUGACUGACGCUGAGACGCGAAAGCGUGGGGAGCAAACAGG
rnacentral:rRNA from 1 species